AGCUUUGCACAGUGCCAGUAUUGUAGCCAAUGAGGUUUAUCCAAGGCACAAUUAUUGCUAACUGUCUUUAGUGAAUACUCAAUACUUUUUUCUCUUUGCUAGAAAAACCACUGCAGAGGCUUUUUUAUUUUUAAAUAUUACAGUUGUGA
ensembl:snRNA U4 U4 spliceosomal RNA